AGAAGUCCGAGAAACCCCCGUAAAUAUGCAUGUCCACUUUUUUUAAAGCAAAUUACAAAAUGUGAAAUUCCCCAGAAAUGCACAGCAAUACCUUCUCUAACAAUGUGCCUUCACCAAAAGCAGAACUGGAAACAUCCUAAGUGGGCUGGUAACGAGGCUAGCUCUGUCAACUAGUUCAAGACCCCUGAGAGCUUUGGGCCUGAGGUUCCUCAGCUUCCAAGUGAAAGGCUUCGACUUGGCAUUCUGGGAGACAAUCUCUGUGACCAUCAGUUUCCUCAUCUGGAAAACUGGCAUCAUGAUAACUUUGAAGGUAAUUGUGAAGAUUAAAGGGAGUCAUGCAUGUAAA
rnacentral:antisense_RNA from 1 species